rnacentral:lncRNA from 1 species
UUCUUUUAGGCAUUGACACAUCUCCACUUAAUAGAGUAUGUCGGAGAGCAGACUGCUUUGCUAAUAAAGAUGGUCCCAGAAGAUCAGCGCCUAGCAGCUGCCAUCAUCGUAGUAGUCUGGGUGUCGGCCAUUGCCUCGUCCUUGAUUGACAACAUCCCAUUCACUGCCACCAUGAUUCCUGUGCUCCUGAACUUAAGCAGAGAUCCUGAGAUCAGCCUGCCUGCACCACCGCUCAUGUACGCCCUGGCCCUCGGCGCCUGCCUGGGAGGUAACGGGACACUGAUUGGAGCAUCAGCCAAUGUUGUUUGUGCAGGAAUUGCAGAGCAGCAUGGAUAUGGAUUCUCUUUCAUGGAAUUUUUCAGACUGGGCUUCCCAAUGAUGAUUGUCUCCUGUAUGGUUGGGAUGUGUUACCUCCUUGUUGCUCACGUCGUGAUGGGAUGGAAUUAAUAGGUAUACAGUGUGUGAAGACUGAAGGACACUUGAGCCAUCACCACCAUCAGUAGAAAACUACCCCAAGACAUU